rnacentral:rRNA from 1 species
CCGUAGCCCAAGAGAUCGGGAUAACACCUGGAAACAGAUGCUAAUACCGGAUAANAACAGAUGAUGCCUAUCAACUGUUUAAAAGAUGGUUCUGCUGUCACUCUUGGAUGGACCUGCGGUGCAUUAGCUAGUUGGUAGGGUAACGGCCUACCAAGGCGAUGAUGCAUAGCCGAGUUGAGAGACUGAUCGGCCACAUUGGGACUGAGACACGGCCCAAACUCCUACGGGAGGCAGCAGUG